CAGCAGCCGCGGGAAUACAGAGGGUGCGAGCGUUAAUCGGAUUUACUGGGCGUAAAGCGUGCGUAGGCGGCUUUUUAAGUCGGAUGUGAAAUCCCUGAGCUUAACUUAGGAAUUGCAUUCGAUACUGGGAAGCUAGAGUAUGGGAGAGGAUGGUAGAAUUCCAGGUGUAGCGGUGAAAUGCGUAGAGAUCUGGAGGAAUACCGAUGGCGAAGGCAGCCAUCUGGCCUAAUACUGACGCUGAGGUACGAAAGCAUGGGGAGCAAACAGGAUUAGAUACCCCUGUAGUCCCUGUCUCUUAUAU
rnacentral:rRNA from 1 species